rnacentral:lncRNA from 1 species
UAUCUUCUAUGAUUUAAAAAAAAAUUCAUCAACUUUAUCGCUGAGACUCAGCUUAAUAAAUAAAUCGAAUCAUCCCUCCACCAUGGCCAAGGAUAUUGAUGUAAUCAUCAAUGGUCAUGAUUAUACCAAAUAAUCCAUGUUCAUAAUCAUACCAACAACUGUCCAUUAAUGAACUACAGGCCAAUGAUGACUUUUACCACAUCAUUCGUUACAUUACGACCAUGAUUAUACUGAAUGAUCCCUGGUCAUAAUCCUACCAAGUCCAUCAAUACACGUAAGCCAAAGAUGACUUUCAUCACAAUAUAAGCAAGAGGAUGAUGACAAUGAAAUAAUAAUUCAAUAAAACAAG